GGUAAUGCCGGAUGCUCCAGUUGAUCGCAUGGUCUUCUGGGAAAGCUUUCGCGGUAUGGGAUGGGGUCGCGUCCUAUCAGCUUGACGGCGGGGUAACGGCCCACCGUGGCUUCGACGGGUAGCCGGCCUGAGAGGGCGACCGGCCACAUUGGGACUGAGAUACGGCCCAGACUCCUACGGGAGGCAGCAGUGGGGAAUAUUGCACAAUGGGCGCAAGCCUGAUGCAGCGACGCCGCGUGAGGGAUGGAGGCCUUCGGGUUGUAAACCUCUUUUAUCGGGGAGCAAGCGAGAGUGAGUUUACCCGUUGAAUAAGCACCGGCUAACUACGUGCCAGCAGCCGCGGUAAUACGUAGGGUGCAAGCGUUAUCCGGAAUUAUUGGGCGUAAAGGGCUCGUAGGCGGUUCGUCGCGUCCGGUGUGAAAGUCCAUCGCUUAACGGUGGAUCCGCGCCGGGUACGGGCGGGCUUGAGUGCGGUAGGGGAGACUGGAAUUCCCGGUGUAACGGUGGAAUGUGUAGAUAUCGGGAAAGAACACCA
rnacentral:rRNA from 2 species